GAUGAACGCUGGCGGCGUGCCUAAUACAUGCAAGUCGAGCGAAUGGAUUAAGAGCUUGCUCUUAUGAAGUUAGCGGCGGACGGGUGAGUAACACGUGGGUAACCCGCCCAUAAGACUGGGAUAACUCCGGGAAACCGGGGCUAAUACCGGAUAACAUUUUGAACCGCAUGGUUCGAAAUUGAAAGGCGGCUUCGGCUGUCACUUAUGGCUGGACCCGCGUCGCAUUAGCUAGUUGGUGAGGUAACGGCUCACCAAGGCAACGAUGCGUAGCCGACCUGAGAGGGUGAUCGGCCACACUGGGACUGAGACACGGCCCAGACUCCUACGGGAGGCAGCAGUAGGGAAUCUUCCGCAAUGGACGAAAGUCUGACGGAGCAACGCCGCGUGAGUGAUGAAGGCUUUCGGGUCGUAAAACUCUGUUGUUAGGGAAGAACAAGUGCUAGUUGAAUAAGCUGACACCUUGACGGUACCUAACUAGAAAGCCACGGCUAACUACGUGCCAGCCGCCGCCGUAA
rnacentral:rRNA from 1 species